AUGAGGGCUGAAAUCAAUGUUGCUCACCAAGUUGACUCAAGGGAAUCAUCUAAAAGCCUGGAUGAGGACAUGUUAUUAACCUUUCUCCAAUUCUCCGGGAUGUCAUAUUUGUGUUGCUUUGCCAGUUCCAUUUUACUCCCUUGUGUCGAGGAUUACAGGCGAAAUUCACCUGGUUUUUACCCAGAAGGCUUUCAACGGCUUCCACCGAGUUGUGGAAUCAGACUUCAGCCUGUUUCCUUCAGAGUAACAGCACCCAGUGGUGAGGACGAGCAAACAAAGUGUGUGUGUGUGGGUGUUGGUGGGUACAUUCUGUGUCUUGGCCUGUGUAUUUGAGUCCAUCAGAAGCACCAUAUUGCAUUAUAGGUAAGGUCGGGUUGCCCUUGGUGAUGCCCCUGUCCAUCUGUCUUCUUUUAUGUUUAUACAUCUUUUAUAUAUAUAUAUAUAUCAUCUGUGUCUCUCA
rnacentral:lncRNA from 1 species